GUUACAAGAUCAACCUCAUUUCCUCGAAUCCAAGAAUUAUAUAAUAUUGGACUUUGCUAUGAAAUAAGCUCAUCAAACGAUUCCGGCCUUGCUACAUAAUAUUGAAUCCAGCAAAAUGCUAGCCAUUGGAAGUUUCUCAUGAUCGCCUGACUUCUAUAGUUCAGCGAACGAAACUGUAAACUGCGUAUAAAAAUAUCAAUCUGCUUGAAAUUUGUCCUUGGCCGAGAUGCAUUCCCAGCCUCUCUGCCCCCCUGCACCCUCCAGUAAUUCAUUGUUCGGAACAGGUUUGCUAACUCACAGUGCUGGGUAGCAUUGUGCCACUGGAAAUCAUGACAUGUGAUUCGUCAACCAUAAGGACCUUUACGAAGUUCAUAUCUCCGUGCUAUCGCGGGCUUUGGAAAUGGUGGGAAGAGCUAGGUCUCUCGACCAAUCCGCUGACGGCUAGGCGACGCCAUGAUAGGGUGGGGUCAUUUUCCUUUUGAACGUCGUGGCAACUGGACGUGAGAUCGAAUUCAGAUUAUUAAUUGAUUCCAAGGAUCACGUAGAACGCAUUGAACGCACCAACGGUCGUAUUGGAGGACGAGCAGCAGACACCGUGAUGAUUAAUCUCUGAUGACUGGAAUGGCCUGAUAGCGCAAGAGUUUCAAAGAAGGAGCGGCAUAUUGACAAAUGGC